rnacentral:rRNA from 1 species
ACUCCUACGGGAGGCAGCAGUGGGGAAUAUUGGACAAUGGGCGAAAGACCUGAUCCAGCCAUGCCGCGUGUGUGAAGAAGGGUCUUCGGAUUAGUAAAGCACUUUAAGUUAGGGAGGAAGGGCAGUUACCUAAUACGUAAUUGUUUUGACGUUACCGACAGAAUUAAGUACCGGACUAACUCUGUGCCAGCAGCCGCGGUAAUACAGAGGGGUGCAAGCGUUAAUCGGAAUUACUUGGGCGUAAAGCGCGCGUAGGUGGUUUGUUAAGUUUGGAUGUGAAAUCCCCGGGGCUCAACCUGGGGAACUGCAAUUCAAAACUGACUAGACUAGAGUUAUGGUAGAGGGUGGU